CAACAACAAAAAAAAGAACUUGCAUUAUUGAAAAAUUAAAGAAAAAUUUCAUGGAUUUCUGAACCAUUAACCAGGUGGCUCAGUCUUUCUUGUUUUCAACCUAACCUACCGAAAGAAUGAAGAAAGAGAGGGACAAUGGAAACAGAGAGUACUCAUGGAGGAGACAAGUUGGCUGACCAGUGACAUCAGCUGCUAGAUAGUCUGAGAGAGGAGGAAACCUUUUACAUGAAAAAGAAAACAAAUAUGGACUGGGUGUAAAUCCGAGGGAAAAGUGGCAGAACCUAGAAGACAUUCCACAGGAAGAUGUUGCAGAACAGAACAAGAAGGAGAAAGAAUAAAAGAAUGGGGCUACAAUAGUUCCAAGAUUUCAUCCACCUUUAACAUCCUAUGAUUCUAAGAUUCUGGAGAAGCAAUCUUCUGAGAAAUGAAGUUCUUAAGGAUAAAGAACUUAGAAGGAUGUUCUGUCUCGUGGAAAGAGUGUGGUAUGAGAGUCAGUUUUGGAGCUUCAGCAUCAUGAACUUAGGAGAAGAUGCAAUAGCUACUCCAAGACCCAGCUCUGACGUCCUGUGUUAGCAUGCAUAUAGGCUCAGAUAUACCUGGAACAAAUUUCUGAAAUUGCCACAGCCACCUCCAACAUUCAGAAAACACCACUCUGAUCAGUCAGCACCAUCAUCAUCCUCCACCAGCAAAAAGGCUGCAGUUUGCUGAAGGCUCAAAUAAUUGUGCGCGUAAGCAACUCUCAUUACUGAUAAUGGAAGCUUCGUGAGUGUUCCAGGAGGUCUAUGUUUCUGAGUAAUAUGCUUUGGAGAGA